UACGUAGGUGGCAAGCGGUGUUCGGAAUUGUUGGGCGUAAAGCGCUCGCAGGCGGUCCUUUAAGUCUGAUGUGAAAGCCCACGGCUCAACCGUGGAGGGUCAUUGGAAACUGGGGGACUUGAGUGCAGAAGAGGAGAGUGGAAUUCCACGUGUAGCGGUGAAAUGCGUAGAGAUGUGGAGGAACACCAGUGACGAAGGCGACUCUCUGGUCUGUAACUGACGCUGAGGAGCGAAAGCGUGGGGAGCGAACAGG
rnacentral:misc_RNA from 1 species